rnacentral:rRNA from 1 species
UACAGAGGGGGCAAGCGUUGUUCGGAAUUACUGGGCGUAAAGGGCGCGUAGGCGGCCUGUUAAGUCGAACGUGAAAUCCCCGGGCUCAACCCGGGAACUGCGUCCGAUACUGGCAGGCUUGAAUCCGGGAGAGGGAUGCGGAAUUCCUGGUGUAGCGGUGAAAUGCGUAGAUAUCAGGAGGAACACCUGUGGUGUAGACAGCUUACUGGACCAUAGCUGACGCUGAGACACGAAAAGCGUGGGUAGCAAACAGG